rnacentral:rRNA from 1 species
GACGAACGCUGGCGGCGUGCUUAACACAUGCAAGUCGAACGGAAAGGCCCUGCUUUUGUGGGGUGCUCGAGUGGCGAACGGGUGAGUAACACGUGAGUAACCUGCCCUUGACUUUGGGAUAACUUCAGGAAACUGGGGCUAAUGCCGGAUAGGAGCUCCUGCUGCAUGGUGGGGGUUGGAAAGUUUCGGCGGUUGGGGAUGGACUCGCGGCUUAUCAGCUUGUUGGUGGGGUAGUGGCUUACCAAGGCUUUGACGGGUAGCCGGCCUGAGAGGGUGGCCGGCCACAUUGGGACUGAGAUACGGCCCAGACUCCUACGGGAGGCAGCAGUGGGGAAUAUUGCACAAUGGGCGGAAGCCUGAUGCAGCAACGCCGCGUGCGGGAUGACGGCCUUCGGGUUGUAAACCGCUUUCGCCUGUGACGAAGCGUGAGUGACGGUAAUGGGUAAAGAAGCACCGGCUAACUACGUG